AUCUUCAUGGUAUGACACUGCUGUGGGACGUCCACCAUUUCUGGCUUUUACAGCCUGGUUUUCACAGAGCAAUAAGGGGGUUUCCUUCUGCCGCCCAAGCUAGAGUGCAGUGACAUGAGCACAGGUCAAUGCAGCUACCACCCCCACGCUCAAGAGAUCCUCCCAUCUCAGCCUCUGGAGUAGCUGGGACUACAGGCCUGCAUUACCACGCCCAGCAUAUUCUCCUACCUUGAAUCAUAUAGUAAGGAAGAAUUUCCUGGAACAGAUAUUCAGCAAUGAACUGGAUUUCCCAUGCAGAAGUUGUAAAUAUAAAGUGGCAUGCAUUUGGAUAGAAGGAGACUGAAAAAUAUAUAUUACUGCAUAUCAGCAGGGAUAUAAUGGAGAAAAAGGUGGGAAAAAAGAGGAGUUUGGAAAAUCAGGAAAUUAAAUAAAUGUGCACAUAAUUCCAUACCCCAAUGUAGAACCAUUAUCAUAUUAACUUGUAUUUUUUCCUCCAAUAUUUAAGUGAUUCAUCAACAAAUUCACACAACACAUACUUACUGAGCACCUACUAUAUGUCAGAUACCAUUUAAGGUGCUGGGCAUAUAGCAGUAUACAAAAUGAAACAAAUAUUCUUGCAUACAUUCUAGAGAUGGUUUUCUAGACAGUACGUGUAACAUUUUGAAUGCUAUCUUUUAAACUUUUAAUCAUUUUCCAGGUUACUCGUUGGUUUUCAUAAUCAUCACUUUUAAAGGACUGAAUGAUCUUAACAAAAUAGCCAAUGAUUUCAACUACUUUUUUUAUGGUUGUUAUAUUUGCUGUUUUCAAUUUCCUUUUCUUCUUUCCUUUCUUCCUUCCUUCUAUUUUUAUUUAAACAUAAUUUUUAGGAAAUAGCCUCAUACUGAACAUCUUGUCAGACUGCUUUUUUCUCUGUAUUUUAUACAAGUGUGUUCUUUCAGCUCACAUUUCCUUUGGACUUGUGCAUGCCGCCUUUAGACACUCUUCUCUGUUUUGGGCAAGAUUCACAUUACAGAGCCUGAAUGUUAACACAUCGAAUUCUCUGACAGCAGAAUUGACAUUGAAUAAUUCCAGAGGUGCCAAAGAAUGAUUCUCCUGGGAUUUCCUUUACCCAUAGCUGAUUUUUGAAAUUUCAAGGUUAGAGCUUCACAACUGCCCUCCUUCAAAAUGUACAUACCACUGCAAUACUAAAAUCUAGCCUUAUUAUAAUCAUCUAUGCAUUUAUAAGAACAAAGAAGGAGCAGGUUUGACAGAGCAGAAGAAGAAAGCAGAAAACGAAUGGUGCCCAUUUUGUCCUAUGCAUACAAUCCAGGCAAGUUCAUUUGUACAUAUGUAUAUAUGAAUGUUAUUUCUUGCUUCAUCGUUGCUAUGAAAUACCUAGUAUGGGAUUAUCUGACAUUAAGAAAAUCUGUCCAACUGUAAGCACGUGUGUAAUUGGCUGGGUAAAGGGAUCAGGUGUGAAUCUCAUCAGCGCAAUGUUUUAGUUGUCUAGAGUCAAUAAAUAGGAGGGAUUUUAUAUACUGUCAGACUGUUAUAAUGAUUAAGGAUAAGAAUAAGCUGGGAAUGGGGUAGGCUCAUAGAUUGUUAGCACUAUAUGCUUUUCUAGUAUAGUUAUUUGAUUUUCAAGUAGAGAAGCUGAGGACUAAAGAAACUGAGAGACUUAACUAAGUCAUAAAAAUAGAACAAUAUUUCCCUAUUAGUAUCCUUUUAGCUUGUGUUUACUGCCUCUAUACUUGAAUGAGCAUUUGGAUAUUUUAUAAUGGCCUUUCAAAAACUCAAUUUUUUCAGCUUUUUGAAGGAAAAGACUGUAUCAGUAGAUGCUCUUAUUUAAUUGUGUAUUUUUCCUUUUCACCUGGAAUCUCAAUAAUUUUUCUAAACUGCUUUGUGGGCAUACGUUAUGAAAAUAUGAAAUAGAAAGGAAAAAGUGAAAAAAGAAAAAAAUAGAAUGAAGUAACAAUUUUAAAGUAAAUUGAGUGAAUUCUGACUUUCUCCUAAUAAUAUAUAAAACUUCAACAUGUGUUUUCUAUAUAAAAGUUCCAGUUUCCUUUGUAUUCCACUAGAAGGAGCCAUUCAGUCUCAACUUUCAGGGCAUACUUCCUUCCCAGAAUAACAUGAAGCAUCUAUUUUUUUCCUGUUAGACUUGAGCUAAGCAUGAGAAUCAAUUUUCUUAAAACAAAGUUAUCUCUAUCUUUAAUUAAGAAUAAAUACUUGUUUUAAAUUGUUAAUGGAUUUGGGCUUUAUUCUAAUGCAUGGUUAUGCUCCUCUCUAAGAGUCUGUCCAUCCUAACAUGGGAGAACAAAAGGCAGAAAAAUAAUCCAUAUAUUUAUAAGGGAGCAAAAGGGUGCAAAUGAAAAUUCUUGGAAACUGGAAGUUGGAAAAACUAGUUAGAGGAGUGUAAAAACCAAAUGUCAAAUGAUUCUCCUAUAGUGAAUCUACUCAUCAGCAAUUCCUGAGGCAAGGUAAUGGAGAUGAAGACCUUAUAAAAAGCACUAUUCUAAUGUCCAGGAGCUGGGCUGGACAAAAAAACUCAAUUUCAGUUAACUUCCCAGUCAUUACAUGAUGAAAAUAUGUCCCUUCCCUCCUGUCAAUUUAGACUUCAGAUGAUUGAGAUCAAUGACUUGCUCACAUUAUUUCAAUCUUCUUAGGAAACAUAUUUGCUUACUCCAUGCUAGAGUCUAAAUGUUUGUGUGCCUCCAAAACCUGUAUGUUGGAAUUUGAUCACCAGUGUGAUGGUAUUGGGAGGUGAGGGCUUUGCGGGGGUCUAAUUACUAGUUAGAUGGUGAAGCCCUCAUUAAUGGAAUCAGUGACAUUACAGAAGGGGCCCCAGAAAGCUGCCUUGCCCCUUCUACCAUAUAAGGACAGAGCUAGACAGUACCAUCUAUGAACCAGAGAGCAGGCCCUCACCAGACCACGACUCUGCCAGCACUUUGAUCUUGGACUUCCCAGCCUCUAGUACUGUGAGAAAUAAAUCAAUCUGUGGUGUUUUCAAGCCAGCCGGUUUAUGGUAUUUUGUUAUAGUAGCCAGAAUGGACUAAGACACUUUAAGAUUCUACUUUAGACAGAAACAAAGAUCUGAACUAUUUUCCUCAUAUUGUUUGUUAAUGCUUGUUUUUAUUGUUUACUGGAUUGUUACUGAAAAUAACUAAAUAAUAUUUCCCCUUUUCCACAUUUACUAUGCUAUCUUAGAGAGAGGGAGAGAGGUUAUAGUUUAUUGUUUUUUUCUCCACUCAUAUUUCUGGACAGUUAUUUGUUCUUGAAUAACGCAUGCCAGUUGAAUUUGCAUAUGCUUAUAUAAUUUAUAAAUUGCCAGAACACAGUUUUGUAAAACUACCGAAUUAAAAUAUUAUGCCCAUCAAAGUGUAGCAUUCCUUAUUUAGGUUAUGCACUAUUUCUUAAGUAAUGGGAGUGACUCAAAAGCAUUUUAUAAUUAUUUAUUGAGACCUACUUUUGUAAA